GGGGAAUAUUGCACAAUGGGCGAAAGCCUGAUGCAGCAACGCCGCGUGAGUGAUGAAGGUCUUCGGAUUGUAAGCUCUGUCUUUUGGGACGAUAAUGACGGUACCAAAGAAGGAAGCCACGGCUAACUACGUGCCAGCAGCCGCGGUAAUACGUAGGUGGCGAGCGUUGUCCGGAUUUACUGGGCGUAAAGGGUGCGUAGGCGGAUGUUUAAGUGAGAUGU
rnacentral:rRNA from 1 species